UGCCUAUGGUCUCUUCUAGGAGUUUUAUGGUGCCUUGUCUUAUGUUUAAGCCUUUAAGCCAUUUUGAGUUUAUUUUUGUGCAUGGUAUGAGGGUGUGUUCUAGCUUCAUUGACUUACAUGAGGCUAUCCAACUUUCCCAACACCACUUGUUAAAGAGACUAUAAAAUUUGUUUAAUAGAGAUAUACCGUG